rnacentral:rRNA from 1 species
UUGGCGGACGGGUGAGUAACACGUGAGCAACCUGCCUUCGAGAGGGGAAUAACGGCUGGAAACGGUCGCUAAUACCGCAUAAUGUACGGAUGGGACAUCCUGUCUGUACCAAAGAUUUAUCGCUCGAAGAUGGGCUCGCGUCCGAUUAGGUAGUUGGUGAGGUAACGGCCCACCAAGCCGACGAUCGGUAGCCGGACUGAGAGGUUGAACGGCCACAUUGGGACUGAGACACGGCCCAGACUCCUACGGGAGGCAGCAG